GACACUUGUCUGAUACUUGUACAGCUCCGCUACAGCGUCGCGUGCGAAUGACGUCAUUCACAUGCAGCUGCGAUCGUAUCUUUCGCGCCCAAAGAUAACGGCUGCAUAGCGAAACGCUGAUGUCUCCAUUUUUACUGCUUUUUACUACUUGAAUGGACUGAGGGUGAUGAUAGUGGGGCGCAUAGUAUUUUGGCGAUUGACUGUGUCCGGAACUUUUCAGUUCAAGAUUUUUUUGCCUCGACUGAACAAAACGAGAAGCUGGUGGAAUGGCGAAACGGCCGCCAACCCUGGCCGGUUCACCCAGCCAAAAUUAUUGACGUGGCAAGUAAGUUAUGUUACAUUCUAUUAUGUAUAUAUUACAUUAAAUUUUGCUCGCACGUAAAGAAGUGUAAAAUGGAUCUUGUUACCUGACUAGCUUAGCAUGCUGGCUGUUAGCUACAUUAGCAAACAUUAGCUAUUUGCUAAUGUUAAUGUUAAGUCUCUUAAUUCGGCAGGGGAAGACUGAGAAGGCUUAAAAAAAGUAAAAAGGGAGGGUCUUCCAAAAACAAGCACCAGGAGGGUGAGAAGCAGGAGGAGGGUCAUGACAGACUUUCAAAGAACAAGG